rnacentral:tRNA from 1 species
GCGGUCAUGGCGGAACUGGCAGACGCGCUGUCUUCAGGCGGCAGUGAGGCAACUCGUGGAGGUUCGAAUCCUCUUGGCCGCA